rnacentral:pre_miRNA from 1 species
UUUAUACUCCCUCCGUCCCAAAAUUCUUAUCUUAAAUUUGUCUAGAUAUGGAUGUAUCUAACACUAAAAUGUAACUAGAUACAUCCGUAUUUAGAAAAAUUUAAGACAAGAAUUUUGGGACGGAGGGAGUAUAUA